rfam:Gossypium arboreum cultivar AKA8401 contig_117926_1, whole genome shotgun sequence.
AACCUAUGAUGAGGGCAUCUUCUCAAAAGAUCUUUAAAUCUCUCUCAUGCAUCAUAUAAUGUCUCCAACUCAAUUUGAGAAAGAGAAGAGAUAUCCUUCCUCAAGUU